rnacentral:lncRNA from 1 species
AGAUGCCCCACAGUCCCUCAGGACCCGAGUCAGGUAAUCUGCCUUUGGCCUUAGUGACCUCCUUUUCUGGGUGAGUAUACCAUCCACUUUCCUCCCUGACAGGCAGUUCAGUAACCCAACCCUUUCAUUCCUCCUUCAGUUGUCAAAGACAACUUAACAUCCAAGACUAACAAGCAAGAUGACUCAGGAGCAUGGCCUCUGGGUUCCCCUGGCACCAUGCAUGGUGAUGCUAGUUAAGGCUGACUUAGCUCUUAGCAACCUUGCUUGGGAUAGCUUAAGCUCAUCUCCACUUUCCUACCAAACAGAAAAGAAUUUGAGUCCUCUUGCUAUGAGGCUCUCGCUCCCAUCUCAGCCGAGCUUCCUGCCCCUCACCCAAGCUUGGGAGGUUGAGUUAUGGAGAGGGCAAGGAAGCAGGACUGGAAAGAUAGACUUAUGGAUCCACCAAUCAUAAAGUCACAAAGUCCCCUCACACCUGCUAGACUUAGACUCUAAAUCAUUACGGUGUCAACAAACAGAGGUGACUCCUCAGCCACAAGAGACUGUAGUGAGCUUCAAGAGAGAAGAGGACAAGGCAGGCCUGGACUGUGUGACCUUGCAGCUGUGAUGAAGUCACAGCAAUAGGUGAUGCUCAAAAAGCCCCAAUAAAAUGCAAGACAGGCAAACAGAAGCCCCGUCUGUCCCCAGUGGUGGGUAAUGUAGCUGAUGUGGCUGGUUCUCCUUCCUUGACUUCACCCUGACUAUGGGAAUUGUCCUUCAGUGC